UGCUCGUCGACCAAUGAAGCAGAGGUAAAUUUAUUUUGUUUUGGUAUGAAAUUUGCUAUUUCUUCUUUUGCUUGCACUCUUAGUUCCUUACGACUUAUCACUUCUAUCUGUUCUCCCUGAGCACAAUAAGCAUGUAAGAUGAGUUGAUCUUUUAUCAUUCACACCCUAGGCAAAUAAGCAAGCAUCAUUUUGGAUUCCACUUGGCCUUGUUAAAUUUAUAAUGUAUGUUUUGGUUUCAAAUUAUGGGUUUGAUAUUUGAAUCAGGCUGCUUGUUAAUUAUUUCCAAGCUCAUGUUCUAUUCUAGACAAGGUUGUCAAACUCGCUUUUCUAACCUAG
rnacentral:misc_RNA from 1 species